UACGUAGGUGGCAAGCGUUGUCCGGAUUUAUUGGGUUUAAAGGGUGCGUAGGCGGCUUAUUAAGUCAGUGGUGAAAUACUCUAGCUCAACUAGAGGGGUGCCAUUGAUACUGAUGAGCCUGAGUACAGAUGAGGUAGGCGGAAUUGACGGUGUAGCGGUGAAAUGCUUAGAUAUCGUCAAGAACACCUAUAGCGAAGGCAGCUUACUAGGCUGUAACUGACGCUGAGGCACGAAAGUGUGGGGAUCAAACAGG
rnacentral:rRNA from 1 species